rnacentral:rRNA from 1 species
AGAGUUUGAUCCUGGCUCAGGACGAACGCUGGCGGCGUGCCUAACACAUGCAAGUCGAACGAAGUAUGUUUUUCGAAAUGUACUUAGUGGCGGACGGGGGUAGUGGCGGACGGGUGAGUAACGCGUGAACAAUCUGCCCUAUACAAAGGAAUAGCCUCGGGAAACUGGGAUUAAAACCAUAUAACACUUUUCGUUCGCAUGGAUGAGAAGUCAAAUUGAUUAAGAGGUAUAGGAUGAGUUCGCGUCUGAUUAGCUAGUUGGUGAGGUAAUGGCUCACCAAGGCGACGAUCAGUAGCCGGCCUGAGAGGGUGAACGGCCACACUGGAACUGAGACACGGUCCAGACUCCUACGGGAGGCAGCAGUGGGGAAUAUUGCACAAUGGGCGAAAGCCUGAUGCAGCGACGCCGCGUGAGUGAAGAAGGUCUUCGGAUCGUAAAACUCUGUCCUUGGUGAAGAAAAAAAUGACGGUAGCCAAGGAGGAAGCCCCGGAACUACGUGCCAGCAGCCGCGGUAAUACGUAGGGGGCGAGCGUUGUCCGGAUUUACUGGGCGUAAAGGGUGAGUAGGCGGUAAUAUGUGUCAGAUGUAAAAGGCUAUGGCUUAACCAUAGUUGGCAUUUGAAACUGUAUUACUUGAGUGCAGGAGAGGUAAGUGGAAUUCCUAGUGUAGCGGUGAAAUGCGUAGAUAUUAGGAGGAACACCAGUGGCGAAGGCGACUUCCUGGCUUGUAACUGACACUGAGGCGCGAAAGCGUGGGGAUCAAACAGGAUUAGAUACCCUGGUAGUCCACGCCGUAAACGAUGAGUGCUAGGUGUCGGGGGUAUCGACCCCCUCGGUGCCACAGCUAACGCAAUAAGCACUCCGCCUGGGGAGUACGGUCGCAAGACUGAAACUCAAAGGAAUUGACGGGGGCCCGCACAAGCGGUGGAGUAUGUGGUUUAAUUCGACGCAACGCGAAGAACCUUACCAAGGCUUGACAUCCCGUGACAGCUAUGGAAACAUGCGGUCUCUUCGGAGGAAGUGAGACAGGUGGUGCAUGGUUGUCGUCAGCUCGUGUCGUGAGAUGUUGGGUUAAGUCCCGCAACGAGCGCAACCCUUGUUGCUAGUUACCAGCACGUAAUGGUGGGCACUCUAAAGAGACUGCCGGUGUCAAACCGGAGGAAGGUGGGGAUGACGUCAAGUCCUCAUGGCCUUUAUGACCAGGGCUACACACGUACUACAAUGGCCGGUACAACGAGUUGCUACCUAGUGAUAGGACGCUAAUCUCUAAAAGCCGAUCCCAGUUCGGAUUGUAGGCUGCAACUCGCCUACAUGAAGUUGGAGUUGCUAGUAAUCGCGAAUCAGAAUGUCGCGGUGAAUACGUUCCCGGGCCUUGUACACACCGCCCGUCACACCAUGGGAGCCAGUAACACCCGAAGCCGGUGAGCUAACUUAACGGAGGCAGCUGUCGAAGGUGGGAUUGGUGACUGGGGUGAAGUCGUAACAAGGUAACC